rnacentral:lncRNA from 1 species
UCAAAGUUUCAAAGAACGACGGAAUAUAACAAGUUAAUAUUUACCCAUUAUUUACCUCUGUCAAAAAGAAGAAAUCUUAAUUUAUGUUUUUGUUUUGUCACAAUUUCUGCUCAACAUCCUAUAAAAUCUUUUAAUUCUCGGCAAUCCUUAACGCUUCAUGAUUUUCUACUGGGAUUUAUUAAAUUAGCUGAGUUGCCUUUAAUUUACGGUUGACAUAAAGUCAUGCCGAUUAAUCAAACAGCAAGAGACAAGGGGCGUUAUACGUUGAGAUUAGGGGGAAGAUGUCUCGAUUGCGAGCCUCCAAAUAAAAACGUUUGCGGUUUUCUUUUGCUAUCCGCGAGUAUUACUUUUCUUAAUAUGUUGUCACUGGUUAUCUAACUUUUGUUAUGAGCAGUUAAACAGUUUUAAAUAUCUAAUUAUGAACACUCUGAACAGUUUAAUUAAUUAGUUAGAAUAUGUUAAUUCGCGGUAUCACAUUUGGGUAAAAAAUGUACAUGUACUGCCAAAAUAUAAUUUUCCUGCCAAGCGACUGCCAAUGACUGCGAAGAAGACUGCCAAUGUCUGCCAUAUAAUGUAUUUAUUUAUCGUAUGGCUCACAUACAUGGAAGAAAACCAGAUUCUUAAACAUAGAUAUAAAACUACAAUGUAAAUGAAAACAUUACAAUGUAAAUAUAAAAAACAAGUAUUUGAUAAAAAGUCAACACAAAAAACGUAUUUACGAACACUAUAUAUUAACAUCUAGAUGCCCUAUCCAUUCCAAAGCUGCUGGAGAAGCCUCCAGAAAGUCCUUCCAGUCUUCACCAUAAGCGGGUAGGUUGCACUCUGUAGUUAUGUGAUGGAUGGUUUGGUGAGGGGAUCCGCAAUCACAUUCUAGGGAAGGUAUUUUACCCUACUUAUAAACGGAAUCCGCACAUCUUCCAUUCUAUUUAAAGUUGGCCAUGUUUUCCGGUUUAGAUCGGUACCCGGUAUCUGGCAAUAGUUAUUUUCGAACCAGAAGUAUAGGUGCGCAUCGGCCAUUUCUCUCCAUAACUGAAGCCACUGUUUUCGAGAAUUGUAGUUACUGCUUUUUAAUUGUUCAGCUGUUCGCAAAGGUGGAUUUCUCGACUUCAAUCUAUUGACCUCUAAAGCAGGAAGUGUUUCAUGAACAAGGAGUGUUGGGGCAGCUAUUAUUUUAUCAAAUUCUCUAAGAAGACCUAAUUAGUUAGAAGAACUAACUACGUUUCUGCGUAGAUUUGGAGGUAGAAUGUUACUCAGAGCUGGAGGUCAGUAACUGUGGAUUUGAUUGUCCCUGUAAUCAGCCGCAUGGUGUUGUUCAGCUGUCUGUCUACGAGAUUUGUGUGGUGGCGGUUCAACAAUACGGGUGCACAAUAGUCUGCCACACUGAAUACCUGACCAAGGGCGGAGAUCCGAAGUGUUGUUAUUUUGCACCCCAAGAGGUACCACAAAGUUUUUGUAUAAUGUUGUUUCGUGUUCUGAUUUUACCAGCAACAUUUUCUAGGUGUUUUCGAAAUGAGAGUGACCGUACACUCUCAGAGUAAUCCCCAGAUAUUUUGGUUAUUUGUUGUUACGCAGAAUGGUGUUACCAAACACAAAAAAAAUUCAGUAUUCGCCAGCUUGUUAUUAAGAUGGAAGGUAGCCACUUCUGUUUUAUUUGCACUGGGUUGAGCUCUCCAUUUUAUAAAAUAGGCAUUCGAUGAUGCUAGAUCCUUUGUCAGCGUUUUUUCGGUUUGGUAUAACGAAUCAUGUUCAGUUGCUAUGGCUAUAUCGUCUGCGUAACAAAACUUUCUAGAUUGCGUAUCUGGUAGGUCAGAGAUGUAUAAGUUGAAUAAGAGAGGGGGAGACGGAGUCUUGGGGUAAGCCGCUAUUAAGUUUUUAUGUUUACUUGUGCUCUCUCCUAGAAAUACUUGAAUAUAUCGGUUACUUAGCAUGUUGUUGAUAACUCGAGAUAGUUUGACAAGGAAGUGCUUUAAGUAAUUUAUAAACCAUACCAUCUCUCCAGACUGUGUCGUAAGCGGCUGUUAAAUCGACAAAAGCUAUGGAGGUUUUAAGCUUAAGUUGGAAAUUUCCUACAAUGUGAGAUGUAAGUGAUUAGGACUAGGACUUGGUUACAGCAACUGCGUUUAGGAAUGAAACCUGCCUGUUCAACUGGAAUGUGGUUUAAGAUACUGUUCUUUAUUCUAUUGUUCUAGGAGCUUAUAGGUACAACCACGAGGAUGUCACUUGUAUAGGAAAACAGGCAACAGUCAAUUUAAACGUGCCAGGACAAACAACAAAGAAAGCAACAUCUGCCAGGCAUAGGCUGUCUUUGAAACUCACGUUGCUGAACUUCAUAAUAUCGCGGCCAUUUUGCCUUGGAAACUGGCAAAGUGAACAAAUCAGUUAGGUUAGGCGUUUUUAUAGUUAUAAAUUGCUAUUUGGAUGUUUUAAUGCUGUUAUUCAAUACAUGGUAAGUUUAAAAUUUCAAAUAAAUACUUUGUUCAUAAAUACAAGGCGGUUGUAAACGUAUUUUUGUGUCUUAAUAGAAUUCAACUUUUGCAAAUAACCGCGGGAAGAAGAACCUAUCUUGGUGCAGCAUCGGUAUACGGUAUUGGGAAACUAUUAUUGGGUAUUUUUUUCCGAUAGUAAUUUCAUUUUGACACCUUCAAGAAAAAAAUCAGAAUCAAGAGAGAAAAUCGGGAGGGACCGGAGAAGAGUUAAUGCAGUACACUGAAGUACCUAUUUGCCAGUAUUUGGUUUUCAAGAGAGAAAUAAGAAUUCAAGAGAGAAAAUCAGGAAGGGCUGGAGAAGUAGGUACACUGAAGUAUUUGCCAGUAUUUGGCGGAAAUAAAAAAUUAACAGCAUGUUUUAUUCGUAUAGUAGGACUAUUACAUAAAUCUAGCACAAUACUGGAAUAAUGGACGCACGUUUUGCUUAACAUGUUAGCAUCAUUAAUGCUGAUGAUGGAUGACACAUUUUGAGCAGAACGUGCGUCCAGAAUUUAAGUCCUUUUAUGUAUUAUGAAUGGAUUGUUCUAAUUUACUUUUAUAACACGCUAAUACUUUUAAGGUGAAAUUAUACAUUUAAAGUUGUCAGAAUGUUUAGUGAAUUUUGUGUGUUAAAAUAUUUUAACUUUUUAC